rnacentral:rRNA from 1 species
GCUCUGUUGUUAGGGAAGAACAAGUGCGAGAGUAACUGCUCGCACCAUGACGGUACCUAACCAGAAAGCCACGGCUAACUACGUGCCAGCAGCCGCGGUAAUACGUAGGUGGCAAGCGUUGUCCGGAAUUAUUGGGCGUAAAGGGCUCGCAGGCGGUUUCUUAAGUCUGAUGUGAAAGCCCCCGGCUCAACCGGGGAGGGUCAUUGGAAACUGGGAAACUUGAGUGCAGAAGAGGAGAGUGGAAUUCCACGUGUAGCGGUGAAAUGCGUAGAGAUGUGGAGGAACACCAGUGGCGAAGGCGACUCUCUGGUCUGUAACUGACGCUGAGGAGCGAAAGCGUGGGGAGCGAACAGGAUUAAAUACCCUGGUAGUCCACGCCGUAAACGAUGAGUGCUAAGUGUUAGGGG